rnacentral:rRNA from 1 species
ACAAGCAGCGGAGCGUGUGGUUUAAUUCGAUGCAACGCGAAGAACCUUACAGGGUUUGACAUGCAAGUGGUAGGAAGCCGAAAGGUGACCGACCCUUCGGGGAGCUUGCACAGGUGCUGCAUGGCUGUCGUCAGCUCGUGUCGUGAGAUGUUCGGUUAAGUCCGCUAACGAGCGCAACCCUCGCUGUGUGUUAUAUGUGUCACACGGGACUGCCGGUCUUAAGCCGGAGGAAGGUGGGGAUGAUGUCAAGUCAGCAUGGCCUUUAUAUCCUGGGCUACACACACGCUACAAUGGCCAACACAAUAGGUUGCUAAGCCGCGAGGUGGCGCCAAUCCAUAAAGUUGGUCUCAGUUCAGAUUGUAGGCUGCAACCCGCCUGCAUGAAGAUGGAGUUGCUAGUAACCGCAGGUCAGCUAUACUGCGGUGAAUACGUUCCCGGGGCCU